rnacentral:rRNA from 1 species
CCUACGGGUGGCAGCAGUGAGGAAUAUUGGUCAAUGGGCGAGAGCCUGAACCAGCCAAGUAGCGUGAAGGAUGACUGCCCUACGGGUUGUAAACUUCUUUUAUAAAGAAAUAAAGUGAUGCACGUGUGCCUUUUUGUAUGUACUUUAUGAAUAAGGAUCGGCUAACUCCGUGCCAGCAGCCGCGGUAAUACGGAGGAUCCGAGCGUUAUCCGGAUUUAUUUGGUUUAAAGGGAGCGUAGAUGGGUUGUUAAGUCAGUUGUGAAAGUUUGCGGCUCAACCGUAAAAUUGCAAUUGAUACUGGCAGUCUUGAGUACAGUUGAGGUAGGCGGAAUUCGUGGUGUAGCGGUGAAAUGCUUAGAUAUCACGAAGAACUCCGAUUGCGAAGGCAGCUUACUAAACUGUGACUGACAUUGAUGCUCGAAAGUGUGGGUAGCAAACAGGAUUAGAUACCCCGGUAGUC